rnacentral:rRNA from 1 species
UACGUAGGGCACAAGCGUUAUCCGGAAUUAUUGGGCGUAAAGAGCUCGUAGGCGGUUUGUCGCGUCUGCCGUGAAAGUCCGGGGCUCAACUCCGGAUCUGCGGUGGGUACGGGCAGACUAGAGUGAUGUAGGGGAGACUGGAAUUCCUGGUGUAGCGGUGAAAUGCGCAGAUAUCAGGAGGAACACCGAUGGCGAAGGCAGGUCUCUGGGCAUUAACUGACGCUGAGGAGCGAAAGCAUGGGGAGCGAACAGG